rnacentral:rRNA from 1 species
CAAUAGCGUAUAUUAAAGUUGUUGCAGUUAGAACGCUCGUAGUCGGAUUUCGGGGCGGGUCGACCGGCCUGCCGAUGGGUACGCACUGGCCGACGCGUCCUUUUUGCCGGAGACCGUCCCUACUCUUAACUGAGCGGGGUCGGGAGACGGCACUUUUACUUUGAAAAAAUCAGAGUGUUUCAAGCAGGCAGCUCGCUCUUGCAUGGAUUAGCAUGGGAUAAUGAAAUAGGACUUUGGUGCUAUUUUGUUGGUUUCGAACACCGAAGUAAUGAUGAGAAGGGACAGUCAGGGGCACUCGUAUUCCGCCGAGAGAGGUGAAAUUCUCAGACCAGCGGAAGACGAACCACUGCGAAAGCAUUUGCCAGGGAUGUUUUCACUGA